rfam:Gemmatimonadaceae bacterium 4484_173 ex4484_173_scaffold_2703, whole genome shotgun sequence.
CAAGUCCCAGUCGGGCAAAGCCUAACCAGCAGCCCGUAUCGAGUGUUGCGCCUGUGGCGGAGCCGGUGUACGCACCGGUGAACAAAAUGGGUGAAGCGUACACAGAGUAAGCAAUAUUGCCAGAUUUAAAGCGCUCCCAUGCGUAAGCACUGGAACACUGUAGGCCGCAGGGGAGGCGUACUUCCCCAAGGCGAUUCAGCCCCGUUAAUGAAAACAAAGCAGUUGGCGACGACUUUAACGUACCGGAAGCCAGCACAAGAGAAUCGAUUUGGUGAGAUUCUUGAGGGACUGUCGGGGUCAAAGAGCG